rnacentral:lncRNA from 1 species
CAAGCGGUAAAGAAAUGUUACCGCAAGAAGAAGUUCACGGUCUGAUCAUGUUUUGCCUUGACCAAAGAAGGCAUAUGACCGUUUAUGGAUAGAGGAAGAGCGUCUCUACAGGCUGGCACAGGCUGGAAGGAUAAGGUUCACUUUUAGCAUAGUGACCACGCGUGUGGAGAGGCUCAUUGGUCCGGUUCAAAUUAAAGGCUCCCUUAGACUUGACCUCACAUGCUUAGUCUCUUCUUAAACCCUAGUAUCACCUCCUAUAUAUUGUAAACACUCUCUCAUUAAUGAAAUUAUGCGAGUUAUGUUACUCUCUCUCUAGUCUCUCUCUUGUUCAUCAUGGAUCAUACUUAAUCUCCCCAUUUCUCUCACAAUCUCUUCUAAACUUCUCUUAAUCUCUUACCAAAUCUCUCUUAAUCUCUCAAUACCUAUUCUACUCUCUAAUCUCAUAUGGUAUCAGAGCCAGGUUGGCUUUGGUAUUGAGAGAUCCUUGUUCCUUUCUUUACAUUUGCGAGUUUGUUCUUGUGUGUUAAAGAAGAGGAGAUGGAGACGACCAGCUUUAGCAAACUGGUGACGGUUCCGGUUGCACUGAAGGGAGGCUCGAACUACUUGAUGUGGUCCCAGUUGGUGAGGACUACCAUUGGAAGGCUAGGGUUGUGGAACCACAUCACAGAUGAUGGUCCGGAGCCAGUGGCCAAAGAAGAUGAAGAAGAAGGCGACGGGAAGACUCUUGCGGUAGCUGAAGCAAAGAGAUGGGUCCAAGAGGAUUUGAUGGUGCUGUCUGUGCUCCAUGCCUCCCUGGAGCUCCCCAUACUUGAAGCUUACGUGCACUUUGAGACCCCUAAGCGCCUUUGGGACAUGCUCCAUAAGAGGUAUGGAAACAAGUCCAACAUAAGCCGGGUGUUUGAUCUGAAGCAAACCAUCAGUGUCUUGAGGCAAGAUGGAGAAGAUCUCACCAAGCACAUGGGGAAGUUUGGAGCUUUGUGGUCCGAACUUGAGAGUCUUAGACCCAACACAACUGAUGAGGAAUCGCUCAUUGAGAGGAGAGAGCAAGAUCAGGUGUUUGGGCUAUUGAUGACUCUAGAUGAAAGCUACCAGGAUGUGAUCAAGCAUAUCCUGAGAUCACCUACUCUCCCAUCCAUGGAGGAGGUAUGCGCUCAACUUCAGAAGGAGGAAGGUUCUCUUGGGUUGUUUGGAGGCAAGAAGGGAAUGUCCACGGCUCAUAAAGCAGAAGAGGCGCAAGCAAACAAGGCAGCGUACCGUGGAGAUGGAAGGAAGUAUGAGAAGUAUGAGGGAAGCUGUGAGCAUUGCAAGCGGCAGGGGCAUAAGAAGAGUCAGUGCUGGAUCCUACAUCCACACCUCAGGCCUAGCAAGUUCAACAAGGAUAGAGAAGCUAAGGCUCACCUUUCUGCUGAAGCAAGUGGUGCCGGCUCAUCAGGGGCUAGUCCAAAUGUCAAGGCGGGUGAAAGUGAAGGCAGAGCUCUAACUUCUCAGGAGGUGAUCACCAAGGCUGACUUUGAGGCUUUCAUCCGAGCCCUCAAGGAGUCUGGUAAAAUGCUAGGCAACACUCUUGGAUACUCAUACUCUGCUCAUACAUUACCUAGUAUCUCUGAUAAACUGUUAGACAUUUUGAAAAUCUCAUGUACUGCCACUGCUCAUACUAGCAUAACUGAUAGAUUGUUAGGAGUAGUUAAGAGCCUGAAAGCUGAAAAUGAAACAUCUAGAACCAAGACUGCUAGGAGCUUGCAUAAACCAUUGAUAAUUGACUCUGGUGCAUCUCAUCACAUGAUUAGUGAUAACAAUCUGAUAAAAGACAUAGAACCUGCCCUUGGACAUGUUAUGAUUGCAAAUGGAGAUAGAAUUCCCAUUAGGGGCAUUGGUAAACUGAACUUGUUUAAUAAGGAUUCAAAAGCUUUUUACAUGCCUGAGUUCACCUCUAAUCUUUUAUCAGUUAAGAAAUGCACUACUGAUCUUCAAUGCAAUGUUAUUUUCAGUCCUAAUGAUGUUAAGUUUCAGGAUAUUAAGAGCAGUAAGUUGAUUGGGCAAGGAGCAACCAAGGGGGAUCUUUACAUGAUUGAAGACCUUGCACCUAUUUCUAGUUCUUGUUUCUCGUUUAGUUCUGUUUCUUCCUUAAGUACUGAUGCUCUGUGGCAUGCUAGGCUAGGACAUCCACAUGUUAGGGCCUUAAGCAUUAUGUUACCAGGUGUCAUGUUUAAAAAUAAUGAUUGUGAGGCAUGUAUUUUGGGCAAACAUUGUAAGACUGUUUUUCAGAGAUCAUCUACUCUUUAUGCAAACUGCUUUGAUUUAAUUCACUCUGAUGUUUGGACUGCACCUUGCUUAUCUAGGGAUGAUUACAAGUAUUAUGUCACAUUCAUUGAUGAAAAAUCCAAAUACACCUGGUUAACAUUGAUUAAAACUAAAGAUAGGGUCCUUGAUGCAUUUAAAAAUUUUCAAGCCUAUGUGACUAACCAAUAUCAUGCCAAGAUUAAGAUUUUCAGGUCUGAUAAUGGUGGGGAGUAUACUGGGCAUGCAUUUCGUGAUCACCUUGCUCAACAUGGGAUCCUUCACCAGACUAGCUGCCCAUACACUCCACAGCAGAAUGGAGUUGCGGAAAGGAAGAACAGACAUCUCAUGGAGGUGUCCCGGUCCAUGAUGUUCCACAAAGGGGUUCCCAAGAGGUAUUGGAGUGAUGCUGUGAUGACUGCGUGCUACCUGAUCAACAGGAUACCAACCAGGAUCUUGGCAGAUCAAUCUCCAUUUGAGGUACUCAACAAGAGCAGACCAGUCUUGGAUCACCUGAGGACUUUUGGAUGCGUGUGUUAUGUUCUUGUACCAGGCGAGCAGAGAAACAAACUAGAAGCAAAGAGCACCAAGGCUAUGAUGAUUGGGUAUUCCACUUCACAGAAGGGAUACAAAUGCUAUGAUCCUACAGCUAGGAGAGUCCUAGUGUCAAGGGAUGUCAGAUUCAUGGAAGACAAAGGAUACUAUGAUGAGCAGACAUGGGAAGACUUGGAGGAUCUCUCUCAGCCAUCAGAAAGAGCUGCUUGCUUGAGAAACAUCCUAGAGGGACUCGGAAUUGGAGUGUCCCAGGAUCAGAGUAGGCGUCCAGAACCUACUCCAGCUGCAGCAGAAGAACCAUCCCACUUUGCACAUGAGGGGGGAAGUGAAUCAGUAUCUGAACUAGAGGACCAAGGCUUAGAAGAGGCCGGUGAGCUAGGAAACAGAGGAACUGAUUCUCCUGUCCAAAGUGGAGAAGGAUCAGCAAGGGGAGAACUGAAUGAAGAAGAUCAGAGACAAGGAGAGGCUAGAGCUGAAGCUGAAGAACAGACUGAAGCAGUGACUCCACAAGUAGAAGAAGAACAAGAGAUGGCACAAGAAGGGCCAGUAUUGAGAAGGAGUACAAGGCUGAGGAAGGAUCCUUCCAGUUGGGUAAACACGAGAGUGUACUACAAUGCCCAAGCUGUGAAGCAUCCUACUCAGGCUGUGUGUUCCUUUGCUCAAUAUCCAGAAGCACAUUGUGCAUUUAUGGUAAACUUGGAUAAGAAUCACAUUCCAAGAAGCUAUGAAGAGGCAAUGGAAGAUAAGGAAUGGAAGGAAUCAGUAGGAGCUGAGGCAGGAGCUAUGAUAAAGAAUGACACAUGGUAUGAGAGUGAACUACCAAAAGGGAAGAAGGCUGUGUCUAGUAGAUGGAUCUUUACAGUCAAGUACAAGGCUGAUGGGUCGAUUGAGAGGAAGAAGACUAGACUGGUAGCAAGAGGGUUCACUCAGACUUAUGGAGAAGACUACAUUGAUACAUUUGCUCCAGUUGCAAAGCUACACACCAUUCGAAUAGUCCUAUCAGUGGCUACUAACCUUGGGUGGGAUCUUUGGCAGAUGGAUGUUAAGAAUGCAUUUCUCCAAGGAGAGUUAGAAGAUGAAGUUUACAUGCUACCACCUCCGGGCCUAGAAGGGAUGGUGAAACCAGGGAAUGUGCUGAGACUGAAGAAGGCCAUCUAUGGGUUGAAGCAAUCACCAAGGGCAUGGUAUCACAAGCUGAGCACAACUCUAAAUGGAAGAGGGUUCAGGAAAUCAGAGCUUGAUCACACUCUCUUCACUCUUACUACACCUGCUGGCAUUGUUGUGCUUCUUGUAUAUGUGGAUGACAUAGUUAUCACAGGCAGUGAUAAGGUUGAAAUCAAGGAGACCAAGGAGUUUCUGAAAUCUGUGUUUGACAUCAAAGACUUGGGAGAAAUGAAGUACUUCCUUGGAAUUGAGCUGUGCAGAUCAGAAGAAGGGUUGUUCAUCUCACAAAGGAAGUAUAUCUUGGAUCUGUUGAAGGAGGCUGGUGCGUAUGGUGGAAAGACAGCCAAGAUGCCCAUGGAGGAUGGGUAUAAAGCUCCACGUGAGGGGGAGCUAGAAGAUAGUAAGCUAUUUCAUGAUCCAAAGCUAUACAGGAAGCUUGUGGGGAAGCUGAUCUAUCUAACCAUCACUAGGCCAGACAUCUGUUUUGCUGUGAACCAAGUGAGUCAGCAUAUGCAAGCUCCAAGAGAGCAUCACUGGCGCAUGGUAGAAAGAGUUCUCAUGUAUCUGAAUGGAACUCAAGGGCUUGGUAUAUGGAUGGGUUGUAACGGGAGUACUGAAGCAGUGGGAUAUUGUGAUGCAGAUUGGGCUGGAGAUAGAACAGAUAGAAGAUCUACAACUGGCUAUUGCACAUUCAUUGGUGGAAACAUGGUUACUUGGAAGAGUAAGAAGCAGAAGGUGGUGUCAUGCUCAAGUGCCGAGGCUGAGUAUAGAGCAAUGCUAAAGCUCACAAAUGAGUUGGUAUGGAUUAAAGGAAUACUGAAGCACUUGGAGAUUGAGCAAGCAACACCAAUGACCAUGCACUGUGACAAUCAAGCAGCCAUUCACAUAGCCACAAACUCGGUGUUCCAUGAAAGAACUAAGCAUAUUGAAGUGGACUGUCAUAAAGUGAGGCAGAUGAUAGUAUUGGGAGUAAUACUGCCGUGCUACACAAGGAGUGAGGAUCAAUUGGCAGAUGUAUUCACUAAGGCGGCUACUUGGGAGUAAUACUGCCGUGCUACACAAGGAGUGAGGAUCAGUUGGCAGAUGUAUUCACUAAGGCGGCUAGGCAAAAGACAAUGGAGUCAAUUCACAUAAGGUUGGGACUCCUUGAUCUUUCGCCUAAGGGCUGAUCUAUACACUCUCCUGAUCAUGAGGUCCUUACUCUUUUUCCCUCAUCAGAGUUUUGUCCCAAUGGGUUUUCUUUGAUGAGGUUUUUAAUGAGGAGGAGCUCAUGAUCCUUCCAAGCUUGACUUGUUCCACAUGGUCAAGCUUGAGGGGGAGUGUUGAGAUGAGCUGAGGAAUAUGAGGAGAGUUGUUCAGGGUUGAAGAGGUUGUGAUGUGGAGAAGAGGAGAAGGAUUGGCCUUAGGGAGAACCGUCCGUACCGGUCCGUACAGGUCCGUACCAUGGCCGUACGGCCGUACAGACGGUAUCGACCAAGCGGUAAAGAAAUGUUACCGCAAGAAGAAGUUCACGGUCUGAUCAUGUUUUGCCUUGACCAAAGAAGGCAUAUGACCGUUUAUGGAUAGAGGAAGAGCGUCUCUACAGGCUGGCACAGGCUGGAAGGAUAAGGUUCACUUUUAGCAAAGAGCGUCUCUACAGGCUGGCACAGGCUGGAAGGAUAAGGUUCACUUUUAGCAUAGUGACCACGCGUGUGGAGAGGCUCAUUGGUCCGGUUCAAAUUAAAGGCUCCCUUAGACUUGACCUCACAUGCUUAGUCUCUUCUUAAACCCUAGUAUCACCUCCUAUAUAUUGUAAACACUCUCUCAUUAAUGAAAUAAUGCGAGUUAUGUUACUCUCUCUCUAGUUUCUCUCUUGUUCAUCAUGGAUCAUACUUAAUCUCCCCAUUUCUCUCACAAUCUCUUCUAAACUUCUCUUAAUCUCUUACCAAAUCUCUC